rnacentral:lncRNA from 1 species
CAUUAUUCAUAUCCAGAAAGAAGUGUUUACCAAGCGAUUGUCCCAAGGACUAUUACCAAAGGUAGCCAGGAGCCACACUUACAUCAGGCUUGCUCCCUCAUUAACACACCAAGGGCCUCUGGGGAUCUGUGUUCAGCACGCCAUUUGCUUGUUCUAUGCGUCUCUGAUUGUCUUUUCUCUCCUUUUUCUCCAUCCCAACUGAAAACUACUCUAUGACUUCUGGCAUCUCUAUUAAGUAGUGAGCCGCAUGGAAAUGAUUAACUUUUGAACUGCAAAACUGAAAACACUCUCAGGCACACUGUGGAAAUGAAACAUGUCAUGUAGCAAAAGGGUUCCCCUGAUGGAGUUUGCAGCAAGGAAGAGAAGUCAUUGGCUGAGAUUUCGGUUUUGUUGUUGUCAUUGUAGAUCAAAAGGAUGUGAUCAUCCCUUCUGAUAGCUCUUUUUUCCCCCUUGGUAAACAGCCUCUGAGUGAGUUCAUUAAAUAUUUAAACAGUCCUGGUAUCUAUUAAUGUUAUCAGACACAUGAAAUAUGUCUGAUGGAUUUAUUCUGCCGUUAAGGAGCCAUACCCCGGUGUCCCUCCUGGGACAGUGCUCCAGCUGUUUAAACUAUAAUUCCAUCACUAGGAGGAAUGGUGAAAUCACUGACCUCUGUGAAACGGACUCAUUGCUACUCAGCCUGUAAAUUGCAAAUGAAACCUUUCUGUAAUAAUGUGAAAAUAUGCAUGCAUAGGAAUUAAAGCACUUGGGGGUCACCAGCAAAGCUUGGUGCAUUUUCUGUACCCUCUAAACAGCUGGUGGAAAGAAUCCAAUAAAUCAAUGCCUGCAGAAUAUUUGUGAUUAGGAGGUGUAUGAGUCUUUUGGGGUUCAAUAGCUCUACCACCAGGUAUAGGAGAAUCUCAAUCAAUCCUCUGAAGAUUUUUAUGUUUUUUUUUAAUUCCUUUACUGUUUACUUGAUCUUGAUUCUCAGAAGUGAUAAACUGUGGUGAAACUAUGAUCCAUACUUACAUUCCAUAAAAUCAAUCUAACAGGAAAUUAUGCAUAAAGUCCUUCAAACUGUGAGCUACUUUGAUGUCCUCUUUUUACCUAUUUCAAGCUUAUGAGAAAUAACAGUUCAUGACAAAUAAGAGAAAGAAUGUCUGCCCAAGACUUUCAUGUGAAGGAAAGAGGUGUUUUAGUUCACUGGUAGGUUAUCCAUGUAAUCACAGUAUAUUUAUUUUUUUUACAUCAACUUAACGUGUAUGAAAGCCCUUACACAAUUUCUUAGAUAUAUUGAUAAAGCCAGGUGUUGACAACCCCUGGAGAUUGUAGUUUCAAAGACUUGGUCUAAUUAUCCUAAGAAACUUGGUUUUUCUGAAGCUGCCAAACAAGUGGCAAAUCCAAAAUAUGGAAAAUAAGCCAAUUUUUCAGUACACUCUUCCCUUGAUAUUGCAGGGAACUGAUUUCAGGAUGCCCGGCUAUACCAAAAUCCUGGGGUGCUCAAGUUCCUUAUGAAAAAUGGCCGAGUACAAUCGGCACUCCGUACCUAAGGGGUUUUGCAUCCAUGAAUUCAAACGACUGUGGAUAGAAAUUUCACCCCAUGGUUAGUUGAAUCCUCAGAUGUGAAACCUGUGCAUAUGAGGGUUGACUGUAUAUUUAUGGAAAAAAAGGCUGAAAGAGGACGCACACAGUUCAAACCUCUGUUGCUCAAGGGCCAAUGGUAUUGCUAAAUUUUGGAAAUGUACAAGCUUGGUUGUUAAUUGAUAAUAAGCAGAUCAAACUAGUAAAAAAAAUCUGGGAUAUAUAUUGAAUAUAAUAAAUAACAAAAUAAAAAAUAAAUGUUCAUCCAAAGAUCUGAUAUGUAGAAUGAUGGUCUAAGUCCAAGAAGAUGACAAUGGCAUUGAGUGCACAAUCCUACUUUUGAUUCUGUGGUGAAAGUUAUACAGAAAUAUAGGGCUGAGAAAACACAAAUGAGGUAAAUGGAAGAUGAAGUUUUAGCAUCUAUGGAUUCACUCUAGCCUUUGCACUUUUUUUUUUUCUUUUUAGAGCCUCAUCUGCAGCAUAUGGAAGUUCCCAGGAUAGGAGUCAAAUCAGAACCGCAUCUGCAAACUAUGCCACAGCUUGCAGCAACACCAGAUCCUUAACCCACUGAUAGAGACCUGGGAUCAAACCCACAGUAUGUCAGGUUCUUAACCCUCUCAGCCACAAUGGGAACUCCUCACAUUCAGGUAUCUAUGAAGGAGGUCAGUGUUAAAGUGCAUGUGUAUGUGAGGUAGACAUUGGCAGCACCAGCUCUAUUCAUCUCUGCUUUGUGCUGGAAUGAUUUCAAGCUUAUUGUGAGUCAACACUACAAAAACUGCUCCUGUAAAUCAACUACACUUCAAUAUUAAAAAAAAAAAGCAUUCCAUAAUGGCUAAUGUAAAUUUAUUUUUGAUCAGUCCAUAUAGAAACUAGCCCAAAGAUGAUGAGAAUGGAGCCUGUAUAAUGCAUUGGUCUUUCACUAUCCUUUGGAAAGGACAGGGGUGAACUAAGUCACCCUAAGAGUAAGCCAAAUAGUGAGAGAGCUGAAAUAACCUCAAAUAAGCAAUGACUGCUGGCACACAGUAAGAACUCCAUGCGUGAGUUCAACUGAAUUGGCAACAAGUCCUAGAGAUGUGGAAAGGGGUUUAGAUCUGAACUGUAUGGUGGCAAUUAAUAUAAUUAGGUUAGUUGGUGAGUAUUAUAAGGAAAUCAACUUUACCUGAAGAAGAGCUUUCUAAAAGCAUAGUUCUCUGACAAAUAGGCUAUAUUGGGAUAUGGUGAGUUCUCUAAUAAUGGAAGGGCAAAUUAUAAAAUAAUUUGGUUUGGUAAAAAGAGUCAAGCAUGAGUCAAGAGGUUGGAUACGAUGACCUGCAACUUCUUGGAUUCAAUAAAUCUGAAAACUUUUAGAGCCCCCAAAGAAGGACUAGACAAAGAAUAUUCUGGAAUGCAUAAAUGGAAAAUCUCUAAAAAGAGAAAUAUAUAUGAAGAUCUUUCCAGGACAACACUUCUAAAGCAGUAAUGCCCACUUUUUCUACAGUUAAAAAAAGAAAAAUUUACAUGGCAAAGAAAUAGUCUCACAAAUUCAGUGAACCCAAUUCAGCAUCCCCAUUAGAAAGCAACACUUUAAGUAACUAAAACGCUAUUUGAAUUUCAGCGAGGCUUUGGUAAAAGAUAUAUUUAGUGGUUAUUAACCCAGUACUUAUCCUUCCAUCACACAUAAUGCCUCUUUUCCUGAAGAAUCCCCUGCAGAGAAUUCCCAGGCUGGGACAGGGCAGCCGCCUUGCAAUUGGCAUCCAAACCACAGGGCAUAGCGAAUAAUGAUGUGCAGUUAAAGUAGCUGCAAGAGAAAGAUGGUAGUCAUUUAAAAUAAUUUCGGCCACUGGAAUUUUUUCCUUUUUUAUUUUGUAAUCACUUAAGGGUCAGUUCACUUAGAAUUCUGGUUUUAACCCCUUUAAAUAAUUAUUUUCCAAAAGGAUAAAUGGUAUAAAAUGUGUAGGCACAAAGCAAUAUGAGUACUCCUUCAUGGGACAUAAGCUUUAGGGAACUAAAGAUAGGUUAAUUCCAUGCCUGGUUCAUUCCAUGGGCCAUUUAACGAGAGCCUCUGGAAUUAUUCAGCCAAUAAUGAACUCACAGGAUCUAAAGGUAAUCACUGCUGCAAUUAUUAAAAUUUACACCAGAAUUCUAUUACCCUUUCUACAGAUAAGUGUCUUGUAUUAAGUGGUGUAGAAGGGAUGCGUGAAUGGGUUCAAUAACACCAGAAAUCUCUCUUAUUUGUUCUUUCUUACAUUCAUUCUCCUCUGCCCUCUCAAGUAUGAAACUACGUUUCAAGUUAAUUCUAAGGAAAUAUUUUAUUAUUUGUAAUAUAGUAAUUUAGCACUUAAAUGUCUAAUUUUCCUGUGUAUAUUUGCUUAUUUAAUUCCUAUAAUCCAGUCUCUUUUCUUUAUUAAUAAUACUAAAAGCUAACUUCUAUUGAUUUCAUAGCUACCUACCAAGCACAAUUCUAAGCCCUUUUCAUGCAUUAUCUCAUUUGAUACAACAAUCCCCAUGAGAUCAAUAUUACUAACUAUCCCCAUUUUACAGAGCAAAUAAACAAAUCUUGAAAAGGUUAGGAAACUCACUCCAGGCCACACAGCUAGUAAUUCCCAGGCUGGGGGUCAAAUCAGAGCUACAGCUGCCGGCCUACGUUACAGCCACCUACACCACAGCUCACAGCAACACCGAAUCCUUAACCCAAUGAGCGAGGCCAGGAAUUGAACCCGCAACCUCAUGAUUCCUAGUCAGAUUUGUUUCUGCUGUGCCACAAUGGGAACUCCUCAUGGUAUAUUUUAGGAUAUAGAUUUUACCAAGGUAGCAGAGGGCUUUGAGAAGAAGUAUGGUUAUACAUGUCUUUGUUUUGGUAAAGACAAUGCUGUGAUUCUUCUAGUAAGACACCUAAUAUAAAGACAAAAUUCCCUUUUGACUAUUACAAAAUCAGUAGCUUUUAUGAUUAUUAUGAAGUGUGAAGCUUUCAGUGGAUCAAUGAGUUCAGUAGUGUUGCUAUAGGAAAACAAAAAAAAAAUCAAUUUCUGUCUUAGUUCAGUACAGAUGAAAAUCCAAACAUCAACAGUGAACAAGAACAAAAUAUAAUUUUAAUAAUCUUGUGCAGUUAUUUUAGUAGUAAUUCAGAAAUCAAAGAAUUCUCAAAAUGCCAUCAAAACUGCAACUAUCGCCCAAAAGUUUCAUAUUUAAUGUGAUAUACAGAAUAUCUCGGAAUGUAAAAUAAUAUGCAUAUGUACAUAUAUAUGUAUGUGGAUAUAUAUAUACUGCAUCGAGUACUUAUGCAAGCCAUCUGAACACAGGACUCUCUAAAAAGGUGGUUGAUUUUCAACCCAUGGAAGAGUAAGCUGCAUGUACAACCAUCAGCACAAUUUAAUUCCUUCUUUUCUGCUAAUUCCAAACUGAAAAUAAAGAAUGUUUUUAAAAGUAUGUUAUAGUCUACAUAAAUUUCAAAAUUUUGCUUAGUAAUUAUCAAAGACUACUGGCUGGAUAACUUUCAACCUGAUUGUUCACAUGUUGUGAGGAAAAUCCAGGAGGAGUUGGAUCUCCCUCAGUGUUUGUUAUUCAUUUAAAAUAUGAAAUCUUAUCACUGUAGACUCAGUAAGUGGGUGUACUCAAGAUUGGGAGAAGUCAAGCACAUUUGAUUCCAACAAUUGCUUUAAAUUAUUUUUCAAACAUUUUGGGUUUGAGGAAACACAAAACACAUUUUCCAAGUUCUCUUUUCCUUUUAAACCCAUGUGUUCAGUAAGAGAAAUUUAAUCCAUAUGUUUCUAAUUCAUUUUGAUUUAGCUCAUCAAAUUGUUGAUUUUUAAGAUCUAUUUGAUGUCCCAAACCUUUUUGAUGGUUGUGAUUUUCCCCUCUGAAAUAGCGUUUUGUUUUUUCAUGUGUAAUCACACUUGGGUCUCAAAGAUUCAUGCUCCAUGUACCAAGGGUUUCGGUGGGUGCGAACUCCUUCAAAUCUGCUUCAGUCAUCCAGGGGGCUUAUGACAUGUAAUAGCUCAGAGUGUUCAGGGUGGUUUUUAUUUUUAUGACUUUCUUUUCCAACCCAACCUUAGUCAUGCUACACAUACAUUUUAUGAAAUCUAAAAAUAUUUUAAAAUUAUAUCUGAUUUCACUUAAGCAGGAGAUAAAAUCAACAUAACUUUUGUUGAAACAUCAUAAGUGGGAAGAAGACACGUCUGUAUUGAAGACGAAAGGAGAGAAGAAAGAACACUGCCACUCUACUAAUAAAAAUUCAUUUACUCAUUCAAUGGGCCCACAAAUGAGAUACAACCAUAACUUAUUUGGGGGAGUUUCAAACAAGUCUUUAUAAUUCUUGUCAUACAAUGCAGAACAAAGGAAACCAGCCAUUUUAGGGAUUGGGAUAUGCAUAGAGGAAAUCUCCUACCUUGCUUUUGCCUUUCUUUGCUUGGAAUUGAAAUAGAAGAAAAUGAAUGAUAAAUGUUGGUCUGCCCAUAUGAUUAAAAUACUCUGGUCCAAGGCAAUGUGUUCCAUCAGCAAAUACUAUUGGUUUUAACACCUCCACUGAAAGAAAGACUAUCAGAUGAGGCAGCGAUGAGUUAUUUCCAUGAAUAAAGAGAGGGUGAAGAAAAAAGGAUUUCACAGAACUUGUGAAAUCCUAGACUGCCCUGAAGCCUAAAGCAGUGUGCACAUAAAAGCUAGCAUCCAUCUUCUCAUGGUCAGGGAAAAUACUUUCUUUUUCCUGCCAUGAAACAUCACAGAGAACUGAUUUUCAUGCACGAAUGUCUGCCCAGCACACAAAGCUGCAAAGCAAAAUCCACAACUAGCCCAACAAAUGACUCAUAGGUUAAUCGGUGGAUGUUGGUAUUACAGAUGUUUUUACUGUGAAUAACAUAUAUCCUCACACUGGAACUCCUCAAGGGUUCCUGAAACAUAUGGAACUUAGCCUCAAGUGUGAAAAGUAAGGGCAUUCUGGUGCUUGGUUAACAAUGAAAAAUGGAGAUGAAAGAAAUGUUUCCACUCCCAGCUCCCAGUGGAGU